UACGUAGGGUGCGAGCGUUAAUCGGAAUUACUGGGCGUAAAGUGUGCGCAGGUGGCCGCGCAAGUCGAGUGUGAAAUCCCCGGGCUUAACCUGGGAACUGCACUUGUGACUGCACAGCUGGAGUACGGCAGAGGGGGAUGGAAAUCCGCGUGUAGCAGUGAAAUGCGUAGAUAUGCGGAGGAACACCGAUGGCGAAGGCAGUCCCCUGGGCCUGUACUGACGCUCAUGCACGAAAGCGUGGGGAGCAAACAGG
rnacentral:rRNA from 1 species